CGCGGUAAUACGAAGGGUGCAAGCGUUAAUCGGAAUUACUGGGCGUAAAGCGCGCGUAGGUGGUUCAGCAAGUUGGAUGUGAAAUCCCCGGGCUCAACCUGGGAACUGCAUCCAAAACUACUGAGCUAGAGUACGGUAGAGGGUGGUGGAAUUUCCUGUGUAGCGGUGAAAUGCGUAGAUAUAGGAAGGAACACCAGUGGCGAAGGCGACCACCUGGACUGAUACUGACACUGAGGUGCGAAAGCGUGGGG
rnacentral:rRNA from 1 species